AUUGAACGCUGGCGGCAGGCCUAACACAUGCAAGUCGAACGAGUGGCGGACGGGUGAGUAAUGUCUGGGAAACUGCCUGAUGGAGGGGGAUAACUACUGGAAACGGUAGCUAUUACCGCAUACCAUCAGAUGUGCCCAGAUGGGAUUAGCUAGUUGGGGGGGUAACGGCGCACCAAGGCGACGACCCCUAGCUGGUCUGGGAGGAUGACCGGCAACACUGGAACUGAGACAUGGUCCAGAUCCCGACGGGAGGCAGCAGUGGGGAAUAUUGGACAAUGGGCGCAAGCCUGAUGCAGCCAUGCCGCGUGGAUGAAGAAGGCCUUCGGGUUGUAAAGUACGUUCAGCGGGGAGGCGUUACCCGCAGAAGAAGCACCGGCUAACUCCGUGCCAGCAGCCGCGGUAAUUC
rnacentral:rRNA from 1 species